CGAAAGCCUGACGGAGCAACGCCGCGUGAGGGAUGAAGGCCUCUGGGCUGUAAACCUCUUUUCUCAAGGAAGAAGAUCUGACGGUACUUGAGGAAUAAGCCACGGCUAAUUCCGUGCCAGCAGCCGCGGUAAUACGGGAGUGGCAAGCGUUAUCCGGAAUUAUUGGGCGUAAAGCGUCCGCAGGCGGCCUUGAAAGUCUGUCGUUAAAGCGUGGAGCUCAACUCCAUUUCAGCGGUGGAAACUACAAGGCUUGAGUGUGGUAGGGGCAGAGGGAAUUCCCGGUGUAGCGGUGAAAUGCGUAGAUAUCGGGAAGAACACCAGUGGCGAAGGCGCUCUGCUGGGCCAUAACUGACGCUCAUGGACGAAAGCCAGGGGAGCG
rnacentral:rRNA from 1 species